UACGCAUGUACGCCACUGGUUGCUGACUCGAAAGCGUAGUUGUUGUCAAAUUGUAAAAAAAAUGUGGGGGGGUGGGGUUAAGUAGGAAACAGUAAUUUUGUAAAACAAGACAAAUACAAAUUAAAUUAGAAUUAAUUAGUGCCGAUACAACCACCCGAAUGGUGAUUAUGUGUUGUUGUAAAUAAAAUUAUGGUGGAUGGUGUCUGUGGUGGCGUCAGGGACGUCUUUCAACCUCUUUGUGGUGAUUAAUUUGGAUUAAAAACCUGUUGAAUAAUCAUCAGUUGAGUUUAUUGACCUUUAUUAAACAGUGGACAAGUUUGCAAAAAACCGUGAAAAUUACCAUAGUCAACAUUCUAUUUUUAACCCCUGCAGAAAGCACGGUCACAGCAAGAUCACGAACGAUUUAUUGAAACUGCCGAUAAGAGGACCUCAAGCGAUGAUAAAUUCGAAGUGAUUUUACGUAAUUAAAAGUGCUAAUCACAUGGUAACGAGAGAAAAUUAAUCUGGGUUUGUUUUUCUUUGUGUCGAUAAGCCUGACCCCUGUGAGGAUAAGUGACCCCACAAUGCCACUUUAUAUAAAACGGUAAAGUCGCCUGUGUCUGUACUUCAGUAAAGUGCUGUGCUUCAACGAGACCCGUUCAACAUAACCUCACAUUAAUUUUUUUUUAAUAUACACUCUUGCUUGCCA